UAAACACCGAAUCAUUAAACACCGCGUAUGAUUCUCGAGAUCACACCAAAAUGUUUGUUUUUACUCAUAAGGAGACAUUCCGACAGCAAAACGAACCGAAAAGCAGAGUUUUCCACCAAUGUCAAGCGAGAUAACAAAUUCGACGCUUUCUUGGCAAAACAUCACAUUUUACUUCAACUUCACAUGACGUCACCGCCGCCACACAAGACAUUUCUAAACUUUCUGCCUGUAACGACAUGUGCAGCUCGAGACCUAACACACGGCUCCGCCGGUUCAAAUGAGCCAAGAUGGCGUGAGGCUUGUUGUUUAGAGGGCAGAAAAAAUGGAGGAUAUUGUAAUAUACACAAAGGGAUACAUUUCAACAACUCGGCCAGGCGGCAGCUGCUGCUCUUUAAGGAAGCAACAAAGAUAAGAGCAACGCGACGCUCCAGCGCAACGCCAGCGACCCGCUCCGACCGAGCAGGCGAUUUCCCCGUCGAAACUACCAAACCGUGUGCUUUUAUCAAAAGGAAUUGUAAAGUAAAUGCUUUUAUCAUGUUGUCUCAAAUGAAGAGCUGUUAGCUUUUGCCAUCAUCUGAGAGACGGACAUUAAACAGACCAAAGAGAUGAAGCCGGGUGAAAAGGGAUGCUUAUGGAGGGACAUGGACAGGCAGGCAGACCUCCGGGGAUCAGCGCUCCGGAGAGUGGGAGGACAAGAUGAGACGAUGGUGUGCAAAACGUGCAUCUAAACAUGUGUGCAUACAGUCCAUGUUUAUCUGUGAUCAUCAGACCACCCCGGCCACAGUGCAUCAUCCCUAUGUGGGGAAAGUCUUGUUAAUAUGGCGGCGAUGAGGUAAACAGAUAGGAAGUGAUGGAGUGGCAGACCCACGGGGGAUAACCACAUGAGGGGUGACAGACCACUGACAUCAGCUCUUGUUCUCUUGCCUUGCUCGCUUGCUCUCUCCAUCUCUCUCUUCUCCACACACACUCAUUUCCAGGAAGGGGUCAUUAAUGUGAGGGAAAAAAACUGAAUCCAGUCAUGGCUUUAAAAUGGAGUAUCUUCUCAUAGAGAUGCAAUCAUUCCUAACGGGUCUGAGUCAGGCUGCAGUUCUCACAAGAGAACAGCACAAAGAAGCUUUUAAUUCCUCCAUUUAGAGACAAAAUACAUCAUUUAUCAUUAAAGCACUGUUUGGAGGGGAAAAGAGUACUUUUUAGAUUUUAUUUGAGAGUAGCUCCCUAAAGUGGUUAGCAGGGUUCAACUUAACCUGACCAAUAAACCGAGAAAAUGAUCCGCUUUUCGUUCUCUUUAACGCACCAGCCCUCUUAUAAAACUACAGCAGCGGUUCCAACAUCCAUACAGUAGUUAAAUGUUCACAUUUAACAGUCGUAAUUGACAUUUUCCCUCGCUCCCUUCAGCAAUGAUAUAUCAAAGAGUGCAUCAGCCGCCGGAGGAGGAGAGAAAACAUUAGGAGGAUUAAUAAAGGGGGGGAGGAAAAUAGAUUGAGCGUUCACCAAGAUCAGUAAAAUAGGAUCUGUCAAGCAACCCUGAAACAUCCAUCCUGUGGAAAAAAAAGACAGAGGUACAUUUUCAUGGAUGGAAGGAAGGAAAAACAGGACAGCCCGUGCGGCUGAUCAAUUUCCCUAGAUUAGCUUUCAGCGGCUGUGCCCGCUUCCAUUUGUAAAGAUAAUAUUAUGUAAUAACCCUUUUGAGCGACUAUUUAAAUUAUCAUACUGCCUACAGUGCAAGGCGCUAAUGGAAAUAUUUAACAUAAAUUCACUUAAAAAAAUGAUGCCUUUAACAACAGUUGUAAGAAUUAUUCUGAAAUUAAAGGAGUGUGCAUAAAUGAUUCUCCCUGGCCUUGACUCGCUGUUCUCAAUUACAUUCUGCUCAACUGGAACAAUGGAACGAUGCUAGCACGGCGCUUUAUCGCGCAUAUAUAUGCGCUGUUACGAAUGUCAUAUGGAAGCUAUUUAUGGCCACAAGCAUCGGUGCCAAGGGCAUAGAAAACAGGGAUGUUAUUGAAUCAAUUCAGAAUGUGCAAAGGAGCAGUGCGACGAUAGAUCAGGUAGAGCCCAGCCGUUGCUGGGUUCCACUUGAAAAACGAUAGCUUGGCUUUUGUUGUGCGCCUUCAAAGACAGGCAUCUGAAAACCCCAAAUGAAGAGACAAAGCUUUAAGCAUUCCUCAGUCUUCUUCGCCUUCUACAAACUCUUUAAUGAUCUUAUUUCAAAACACCUUCCUGCGGACCUCCCCUUUCCUGUCUGGCUAACGCCAAAUUGCAUAAUGCCCAACUGAACGCUCGCAUUUGUUCUCUCUUUCCUUCUCAGGAAAUCUAUUUAAAUUUUCACGCCAACUGUCAGUCCGAAUCAAACCUUGAUUUAUGCAAAAACAACGUCUGCUUUAAUUAGACAUUUCUCCUCACUGUGCUCUAGGCGGCAAGCGGGGUUAGACAUUCGGAGGAACCUCCUUUUUGUAUGAUCAAAACUAGGCCAUCAGCAACACCAUGAUAAUAGCCACGUCUCAACACCCUAGCAACAUACGAGAGUGUUUUUAUCCCCCAUGAGCCAUCCAUCUCCACUCAGCAGGGUGGUUUUGGGUGGAGCACGGAUAAUCACAGCAGUCACUAUACACCUGGAGGACUGGAAAAUAAUAAACAACUAACAGGUAGAUUUUCCCCAUCAGCUCUUUAUACUUUGCCAGGCACUCGAGAAAGAGAGAAAAAAGGAAAAGGAGGAAUGUUUAAGCAGCAAAAUUACAUUAAUCAAGAAAAAUUAGCUGGAAUCCACCACAUAAUGCACUUGUGCUGGAUUAACGUCCGUGAUCUUCAAAACGAAAGUAAACCAUGUGUUUUUGCUCGUUUUGGAUUGCGACACUUCUUGAUUAUCCCAAUUGCAAUCAUGUAACAAAACAAAACAAAAGUGGCUGAAACCUCGUGCUAAUUUCACAGGCUGACAUUUCGGAUGGAAAAUGCACCAAACAGAUGCUCAGAAGAGAGUGACUCUCUUGUCAGAUGUUGGGGAAGUGCGUGUGAGUAACUACAAUCACAUGAAUAGGGCAGACAAACAUAUUCUCACAACCAAUUCUAUUUUGGGGUCUGUGCGCUGCUUUGCUGACUGAAGUGGCAUUCUGUCCUUUGUGAAAGCAUGACCCUCUGAGGUGCGUUCAUGUGCUGUGAACCUCAGCCGGGGGGGAGCAAGAGGUUGGAGACCAGGGGAAGGCGUGGGAAAGCGACUAGAGAACGAGCGAACGGAGGCCGGUGGAAAAGCCGAGCGGUCUGCAGGCAUUCCUUUGUGAUUAGGCUGCACAUCUGUGGAGAAACAGGCCAGACAUUCUUUCAGCCGUGUCUGAUUCUGCUGACUUCUACCCUUGAUCACUUCGCUGUUGUUUUUUCUUAUCAGUAAAAAAAGAAACUCAGCUGUGAACCUUUUAUUUGGUGACUGCAGACUCCGUUUCCUAAUACGCGGUCUGAAUCAGCCCCUUUUAACUUUUGUGCUUGGAUUUAAAGUACCAAAAAUCAACCAGGGAGUGGAAGCUUGUGUCCUUGCUCUCAAAAAAGAUAUGAGAUUUCAACGCCGGGCACCCAUGUACAGUGCUUCCUUCCUCUUUUGCAAACAUAAACCUCAGAACCCUUCCUUAAUCCAGUCAUCCACCGGUCGGAGGCCGAACAUGACAGCAGACGGACAAGGCAAACACUGGUGGGGGUGGUGCUUGUGUUCCGUCUUUGUUCUGAUGGUGACCUCUUCAUUAUAGGGCCUUUGUCACCAUGUAAGGAUUAAGAGUGAAAGAGAGCGCUUCCUCUGUUAGGCAGGGCUCAAAUCUGGCUCCUAAUAAAACGCUCUUCCAUAUGUGCACAUCAGGGUGUGUUUUAAAGAUGUUUCCUCUCAUCCUGCUCUUUAAAAAUGGAUUUGAGUACACAGUGGUGGACUUCUGUAAAGUAAAUCCGUUAUUAAAUAAGUAGCUUA